rnacentral:rRNA from 1 species
AUUGAACGCUGGCGGCAUGCCUAACACAUGCAAGUCGAACGGCAGCGCGGACUUCGGUCUGGCGGCGAGUGGCGGACGGGUGAGGAAUGUAUCGGAAUCUGCCCCGACGGGGGGGAUAACUUGGGGAAACUCAAGCUAAUACCGCAUACGUCCUACGGGAGAAAGCAGGGGACCUUCGGGCCUUGCGCGGCGGGAUGAGCCGAUGCCGGAUUAGCUUGUUGGUGGGGUAAAGGCCCACCAAGGCGACGAUCCGUAGCUGGUCUGAGAGGAUGAUCAGCCACACCGGGACUGAGACACGGCCCGGACUCCUACGGGAGGCAGCAGUGGGGAAUAUUGGACAAUGGGGGCAACCCUGAUCCAGCAAUGCCGCGUGUGUGAAGAAGGCCUUCGGGUUGUAAAGCACUUUUAUCAGGAAAGAAAUCCCACGGGUUAAUACCCUGUGGGGAUGACGGUACCUGAGGAAUAAGCACCGGCUAACUUCGUGCCAGCCGCCGCUGUAACAC